rnacentral:rRNA from 1 species
CACGCCGUAAACGAUGUCUACUUGGAGGUUGUGGCCUUGAGCCGUGGCUUUCGGAGCUAACGCGUUAAGUAGACCGCCUGGGGAGUACGGUCGCAAGAUUAAAACUCAAAUGAAUUGACGGGGGCCCGCACAAGCGGUGGAGCAUGUGGUUUAAUUCGAUGCAACGCGAAGAACCUUACCUACUCUUGACAUCCAGAGAACUUUCCAGAGAUGGAUUGGUGCCUUCGGGAACUCUGAGACAGGUGCUGCAUGGCUGUCGUCAGCUCGUGUUGUGAAAUGUUGGGUUAAGUCCCGCAACGAGCGCAACCCUUAUCCUUGUUUGCCAGCGAGUAAUGUCGGGAACUCCAGGGAGACUGCCGGUGAUAAACCGGAGGAAGGUGGGGACGACGUCAAGUCAUCAUGGCCCUUACGAGUAGGGCUACACACGUGCUACAAUGGCGCAUACAGAGGGCGGCCAACUUGCGAAAGUGAGCGAAUCCCAAAAAGUGCGUCGUAGUCCGGAUUGGAGUCUGCAACUCGACUCCAUGAAGUCGGAAUCGCUAGUAAUCGUGGAUCAGAAUGCCACGGUGAAUACGUUCCCGGGCCUUGUACACCCCUUUAAGGAGCACCAUGGGAGUGGGCUGCAAAAGAAGUAGGUAGUUUAACCUUCGGGGGACCGCUACCCCUUGUCG